UUAGCCAAUUAUAGAACUGAUUUGUGUCAGCAGGUGCCGUAGUUCACUGACUAUAAAGCAGGGUGGAAAGUGAUUGGUUUACAUACUCUGUCACUCACAGUCUAAUGUUUUCAUUGGUUACACUCAGCGGGACUUUCUCAAGGGAAAAGGCUUAUCUCUUCCUGUGUUUAGCAGAACAGUAGCAACUGAAGAACACAUUUAAAAUGGCUUGGCUAUUUGGUGCAGCAGCACUAGGAGGUAAAGCAGGGUUGGGUGCAGUUUUAGGCCCUGUUGGUAUUUGUGUUGGUGGGCUUGCACUUGUGGGGCAUGCAGUUUAUCACGCAGGCAGACACCGGAGAGGGGGUGGAGGGCCACCGAAGAAAUCAAUCACACUGAUGCAGCUGGAUGGAGACAUGGAUUCAUCUGAGGUGGCUGAUCAUUUGAACCUUGGAGCUACGGACACAUACGGAAAUAUCUUACGUUAUGGAAGACCCUUCGUUUCUGGUGAAGAUGGGGAUAAAUACUACGUUGAAGCUGAUCAUAUCCCACCGCUGCAGUCCUUCCGUAUGGCUCGAAGGCUGCCCGCGUUUAGCUCUCUCAGACGCAUUAAUCCAAGACUUCAUGAAUUGGUGAUGAGCCUGGAAAAUGAUACAAGAGGAUUGAACCUACUCACUGUGCAGGUCUCCACCCAUCAUCACCGGGAUGCUCUGUCUUCUGGUUCAAGUAAUGUAUCUAGACAGUGCAGGGAACUAAUUGCACACAGAAUGGCAGAUGGAGACGUAACGAAAAUGCUGAAGCAGGCUUUUAUCAUCGCUCACCCUUACGCUUCCCAGCAAAUAAGAGAUGAAGCAGGACUUGGCUUCAAACCCCGCCCCAAAAAAAUCUUUCUGUCAAAAGACAGAACCAUGAACAUUUACAGAGCUGCCUUCCUUGAACUGAUACGUAAAUAUCAUGAGAUGGGGAUCAUUGGUGAUAAUGAUCGUAAUGAUCUGAUUCAAUAUGUGCAGCACGACAUGUAUCUCGACAGCGAAUCUGAGCUGUAUCAACAAAUUGUUCGAAUUGUUAGGAAGUUUGGUGGACAUAAUCACUAGAGGUUGUCCACAGGCCAAGCUGAGUUCAUGAGUAUGCCACCAUUCACCUUUUCAUGUUUGCAAAAAAAUAUAUAUUUCCACAGUCUUUAACAUAUGUACUUUUAAAUAACUUGUAUGUUUGUACGGAGUGUAGCACAGUGGGUAAGGAACUGGGCUCGUAACCGAAAGGUUGCAGGUUUGAUUCCCGGAUAAGGACACUGCCGUUGUACCCUUGAGCAAGAUACUUAACCCACAUUGCUUCAGUAUCUAUCCAGCUGUAUAAAUGGAUACAAUGUAAAUGCUGUGUACAAAGUUGUGUAAGUUGCUCUGGAUAAGAGCGUCUGCUAAAUGCCUGUAAUGUAAUGUAAUGUUCUUACUUUGAGUGCUUUAAUCUUGUUCUACACUUAAAAUGUACUCUCUUUACAAAAGUUCUGUAUCUCUGUUCUGUUAUAGAAGGCUAAUCGGAUAUAUCCUCUUGAGACUCGGCAGAAAAAAAUAGUUGAAAGUAUUAAUAUUUUUUGACAACAAAAAAAAUGUAUCGGAUGACAAAAACAUGUUGCAUGAAAAUAUUUUCAAAAAUAUUGCAUCAUUUUGCACAUUCAUUGAAUGUGUAUGCUUCAUUGGAGUAGAAUAUAUGGUUCUUGAUAUUGAGACCAGAGAGCCAUUUUGUCAGGGGGAUAUGAUGUAAGUCACUUUUGUGAUAAUGCAUUGUUUCCUGAUUGACCAGUUUACCAGUUUGUUGUGAUUAGGCGCAGGCAUGACUUUGAGCCAGGGCCAUGUGGAAGUGACUGUUUGCUGGAAUGGUUAAAGGCACAAGAGAACGGAGCCCGCCAAAUUAAGUCGACGGGAAAGACAAAGCUGUGGACAGCGUAACCUGCCGUGUUGAAGAUAAGAUGACAUGAGACGUAGAUGACACAACGAGGGAAACAACGAGGGAGUGGCUCGUAGAAAAGUGUCUUGAGAAGAUAUAAAAGGCCGAGAGU